ACAAGGAAUGUGCAGUAAGAGCACAAGUGUGAAGCAGAUACCUCACUAACUUCUAUGCUGGUAUCCACCUCAUAACCUCCACCGGAUCAAGAACUGGAGUGUUUCCAGCUUCCCAGAAAGCUCCCUAAUGCCUCCUCCUGGGCACCGAGGCCCAGGAAUCGCCCUUUUGCUGACUGUCAUCACCGUCGACUAGGUUCGUCUGGAAUCAUAGAGCAGUCUUCAAUUCUGGCUUCAUUCACUCACCCUUAUGUCUGCUGGACUCGUCCACGUUGCGUGUAGCUAUAGGACAAACAGGCUUUUAAUAAAUGUCUCGUGUGAACCCAGUUCUGGCAAAGGCUUCUUGUUACCUAGCACACACUGUCUCCCCUUCUUUCCUCCAGCAGAACUCCGAUUUAUAUAGGCUGGGAAUGUGCAUGCCUAAUGGCUCCCGGGUGACUACAUUUCCCAGGCUGCCCUGCAGCCAAGGGUAGCCAACGAGACGUCAGAGGAAGCCACUCAGAAGGGCUUCCUUGAAGCUCUUUACAGGGGAUUGAGUCAACCCGGAGGCCUCCUCCACCUCCCUUCUCGUGCCUGGUAUGGAUGUGAUUGGAGCUCCAGCAGCCAUCUUGGGCCAUGAGGAGACUUGAGAAUAGGGCCACCUGAUAAGGAUUGUGGAGCAGAGAGCUAACAGAGCCUGGAUCCCUAAUGACAUCCUGGAGCCUCCGUGCGCACCCUGGACUGCCUUCCUCGUGGCUGUGGCCUUUGCACAUGAUGUUCCCCUGGCAGGAGCGUGCUUUACAGCACCUGCCUGGUUUCUCCUCGCUGCAAGCUCCGUCUCUUCAAAGAGGCCUUCCCUGAGUACCCAAUCUAGGAAUCCGGAAAAGUGGAGGUGGUAUUUGCAACCACUUCUCGGCAGAAUCGCAGAAGUGACUGUGAUCUGCCUACGCUGGCUCAGUGAGGGGAUGACAGCUGGAACGCCAGCCCCGGCCUCUGGAUUUUGGUCCACCAACCUCGCUGCCACACUGACUGCCCUGCCACCGUCAGCCAGAGUGAUGCCGGGUGUGGGACCGUGUGGCCCCGGCUCCAGAGUGCCACGCACCGGGGCAUUCUCUCCAUCCAGUUGCGGUCGGUCCCUGGAUCCCUACACCUCCUCCACAUUGGAGGAGCAAAGAGCCAAGGCUGCCCCAGGCUUCUCGGACCCAUGACUGCUCUGCUCUGGCACGCUGCCGUGGUCACACAGCUCCCCCCCCCAAAUGUGGGCAGUGGUCAGGCCCCAUCUCCCCCACCCGACUCUGGGCAGUAAAACACUGGCUCAAGAGUGGGGUAGCACUGCCUUCCACACCGGACGGGAGCGGGCACACCCACUGCUCCCGAGCCCGGCAGCCUGCUGGCGAACUCAGCCCCAGGGGACCGCGUGGGCUUGAGCCUCCCCCACCCUACCUCCCACUUAGCGAGCCUCACCUGGCUUUCUGGCUUCCGCCCAAAUCCCUGGUUCCUGCUGGGAGCGGCCACCUGUUCAAAGCCCUGGCUCAGCUGAACCCAGUGACCAGCAGUGCCCCAAGCAUAAAGGAGCAGACGCUCAGGGCUCAGACCUCAGCUCUGCUACUUGCUGGUUGUGUGACCCCGGGCAUUGUAGUGAACCUCUCUGAGCCUCAUGCCUAAAAUGGACAGGAUAAAACCCACCACAAAAAAAAGUGGUUAGAAGGAUCCAGAGUAAACUUUCACCUCGGAUGAUGUAUCCGGUGGCCGCGGGUUGCUCCAGAUAAUGCAGGUUGGCCCUCAGUGUCACACUCUCCCCUCCUGCCGCCUUCCCCAGGACUAUCCCUGCAAACUACAUUUCCCAGACUCCCUUGCCUGCUGGCUUCCCAUGAGGUUCAGCCCAUAGGAAGUACUUGCAGGAGACUGGAAGGCAGGGAAGAGGGAGAAAGCCUUUGUCUGCUGCCAUCCAGUGCCUCCAGCAGCGGCGGGGCUGUGCGCCGGGGCAGCCGGGGCCCGGGGGUUGCAGCAGGUCAGAGGCGGUCCCAGCACAUCUGCAGAAGAGCAGCUCCAGGUGCCCACUGGGGGGCUGCGCCCGGCAGGGCAGCUGGGCUGCACAGGGCUGAGGGCCUCAGCCCCCGCACGGGAGCAGCCCCCGGUGGAAGGAAAAAUCAGGGCAUGAGCUUGCACAAAGCUGAACACCUACACACGCUCCAUUCAGUCACGUCCCCGCUGCAGAAACAAGUGGACAGGGGGCAGGGAGCCAAGGACUUGCCCGAUACCCCAUGUUUGAGAGAGCGGAGCCUGACCCUGGACCCCGUUCUCAGCCUCGGCGUCUGGUCCUGCCACACUCACUGGGGUGGGCAGCUUCCUGCGCUGCGAGGUCGCUUGCAGGCUCAUGCCUGAGGCCCUGUGCGACGGCGAUCUUGAGCAGCGAGGUGGGGGGGUCAUCGGGCGCCCAGGUCCACCAGCUCCCCCCUCCGCGGGGACCUCUCUCAGCUGCAGCGCGGAGCUGGCUCCUCCAGGUGCCAGGUGGAAUCCCGACAUCCCCCGCCUGCCUGCACCUGGCACGCAGAGCCUGACGACAGAUGCCCGGCACCUUGUUCUUGGCGGGAGUGACGGAUUUGCGGGUCCCCUUCCAGGAGCCCCGCUCGCGCCCCGGGUACACGCUGUGUCAGCCCAUCCUGAGCUAGUGAAAAUAAACAGUGCCAUUAUCCCUCCGCUGACUGCCACGCGGUCUAUUUACACCACUUAGGACGCGGGAUAAAUGGCUUCUCAGUUUCAUAAUGAAAGGAAUAUUUCACUUUGCAGAGCUGAGGAACUGUUUAUUGGGCAUACAAACAAUGUUUAUACUGUUUUGAUAAUAAACUGAUCUGGAAGUUGGUUCAUUUAGGCGAUGGCUUGCCUCUGAUGUGGUUGUCUCUGCUGAGGUUGGCGUGGGUCGGGGGGAACAGGGGUGCAUGGGGCCUGUGGUCUGGGGAUGCUCAGGGCCCUCAAAUGCCCUUCCCAUUGGUGGUGUCAACUCACCGAGUCCUCACAGUGCUCUCUGAAGUGGCUGCCAUUAUAUCCCAAUUCACAGGUGGGGAAACCAAGGCACAGAGAAGCAGAGCAGCUUUCCCAGGUCACAGAGCCAGUGUUGGAUGG